GUGCUGGGGCGCUCUAGUGCGACCAUGGACCGGAAGAAAAAGCCUUUGGACGUCACGGCGUCUUCGUUGGUAGACCUUAAGGCUGAACUCUUCCCAAAACAAGAAGAAUUCAAACAAGAAAAACUUCUAAAAGAUGCUGGAGUUUUGGGGAAACCAAAACCAACUACUAAGAAACCAAGUAUCUGGAGCAGACAAAACACAGGAGUUUCGAAUCGAGCUGAGAAGGAUGCUGAACAGAAGAUUGAGGAACAGAAGACUUUGGACAAAGCGAGGGAGAAAUUGGAAGAAAAAGCCAAAUUAUAUGAAAAAAUGACUAAAGGAGCCUUUAUAGAUGAAGAAGUGGAGGAUAUGUACCUUGUGGAUUUCACACAGAAGAUCAUAGACAAACGCAAAGAAAUGGAAGAGCUUGGUGCCAAUAGAGAUUAUAGAAAGACAGAAAGAGAUGAUGAUGAAGAAACCGUUUCUGAAAAAGAUAUCCCUCCUCCCCAGGAUCCCAGUGAAGAAUGGGUGGAUUAUGUGGAUUCUUUAGGGCGAUCCCAGCGCUGUAUGAGAAAGGAUUUGCCACAUCUGCUGGAAAUGGAUAAAAAUCUUCAGGGGAGGCUUUUCAUUAGUCCUGCAAAUGAAAAAACUUUACUAUCUGAAGAUAUGAGAAAAGAACUCCAGCGCCAGCAAUGGGAGGAAGAAGAGAGGGAGUCCCUGAGAAGACCAAUGGGGCCCGUACAUUACGAAGACAUUCGUGAAAAUGAGGCCCGGCAACUUGGUGUUGGAUACUUUGCCUUUGCCCGAGAUAAAGAGUUGAGAAACAAGCAGAUGAAAACUUUAGAAAUGCUGCGUGAGCAGACAACAGAUCAGAGAACAAAACGAGAAAAUAUAAAGGAAAAGAGAAAGGCUAUGUUAGAAGCAAGACUUGCCAAACUCCAACAAAAAAAGAUGAAAACAUCUAAAGAGGAUGGAGCAGAGGAAGAAGUUAGAGAUGGAGAUGUUAUUGGGCCAUUGCCACCAGAACCAGAGGUCAUGCCAGCUCCUCAUACAGCUGCCCAGAGUAGCAAAGUCGAAGUCAUCGUUCAGGAGAGGAAGGAUACCCGGCCUGGGGUGCCACACAUCCGGGAGUGGGACAGAGGAAAAGACUUUUCCUUUGGGUAUUGGUUGAAGAGGCAAUCAGAUCUCCAGGCUCAGAGAGACCCUGAGUUUGCCCCACCAUCGAACUACUUUGUGGACCAAAAAAGAACUGGUUCUCUGAGUAGCCAGGCAUGGAACAGACCUGCACCUGCACAGAGUGACCCAGGGCAGCACCCUGGCCAGAGCCAUGACCCCAGCUCUUCACAUACAUCAUCCACUCCAGCCCCCAGCGGCCUACCACAAGCCCAGGUGGUCACUUUUGAAACCCUGGAUGAUAUGAUUUCAUACUAUAAACAAGUGACAUGAACUU